GUUAUAUGGUCAAGUGAAGAAGCGCAUACGGUGGAUGCCUUGGCAGUCAGAGGCGAUGAAAGACGUGGUAGCCUGCGAAAAGCUUCGGGGAGUCGGCAAACAGACUUUGAUCCGGAGAUCUCUGAAUGGGGGAACCCACCUAGGAUAACCUAGGUAUCUUGUACUGAAUCCAUAGGUGCAAGAGGCGAACCAGGGGAACUGAAACAUCUAAGUACCCUGAGGAAAAGAAAUCAACCGAGAUUCCCUUAGUAGUGGCGAGCGAACGGGGAUUAGCCCUUAAGCUUCAUUGAUUUUAGCGGAACGCUCUGGAAAGUGCGGCCAUAGUGGGUGAUAGCCCCGUACGCGAAAGGAUCUUUGAAGUGAAAUCGAGUAGGACGGAGCACGAGAAACUUUGUCUGAACAUGGGGGACCAUCCUCCAAGGCUAAAUACUACUGACUGACCGAUAGUGAACCAGUACCGUGAGGGAAAGGCGAAAAAAAGAACCCGGAGGGGGGUGAAAUAGAACCUGAAACCGUAUGCGUACAAGCAGUGGGAGCCUACUUGUUAGGUGACUGCGUACCUUUGUAUAAUGGGUCAGCGACUUAUAUUCAGUGGCAAGCUUAACCGUAUAGGGUAGGCGUAGCGAAAGCGAGUCUUAAUAGGGCGUUUAGUCGCUGGUAUAGACCCGAAACCGGGCGAUCUAUCCAUGAGCAGGUUGAAGGUUAGGUAACACUGACUGGAGGACCGAACCCCUCCCGUUGAAAAGGUAGGGGAUGACUUGUGGAUCGGAGUGAAAGGCUAAUCAAGCUCGGAGAUAGCUGGUUCUCCUCGAAAGCUAUUUAGGUAGCGCCUCAUGUAUCACUCUGGGGGGUAGAGCACUGUUUCGGCUAGGGGGUCAUCCCGACUUACCAAACCGAUGCAAACUCCGAAUACCCAGAAGUGCCGAGCAUGGGAGACACACGGCGGGUGCUAACGUCCGUCGUGAAAGGGAAACAACCCAGACCGCCAGCUAAGGUCCCAAAGUUGUGGUUAAGUGGUAAACGAUGUGGGAAGGCUUAGACAGCUAGGAGGUUGGCUUAGAAGCAGCCAUCCUUUAAAGAAAGCGUAAUAGCUCACUAGUCGAGUCGGCCUGCGCGGAAGAUGUAACGGGGCUCAAACCACACACCGAAGCUGCGGGUGUCACGUAAGUGACGCGGUAGAGGAGCGUUCUGUAAGCCUGUGAAGGUGAGUUGAGAAGCUUGCUGGAGGUAUCAGAAGUGCGAAUGCUGACAUGAGUAACGACAAUGGGUGUGAAAAACACCCACGCCGAAAGACCAAGGGUUCCUGCGCAACGUUAAUCGACGCAGGGUUAGUCGGUUCCUAAGGCGAGGCUGAAAAAGCGUAGUCGAUGGGAAACAGGUUAAUAUUCCUGUACUUCUGGUUACUGCGAUGGAGGGACGGAGAAGGCUAGGCCAGCUUGGCGUUGGUUGUCCAAGUUUAAGGUGGUAGGCUGAAAUCUUAGGUAAAUCCGGGGUUUCAAGGCCGAGAGCUGAUGACGAGUCGUCUUUUAGAUGACGAAGUGGUUGAUGCCAUGCUUCCAAGAAAAGCUUCUAAGCUUCAGGUAACCAGGAACCGUACCCCAAACCGACACAGGUGGUCGGGUAGAGAAUACCAAGGCGCUUGAGAGAACUCGGGUGAAGGAACUAGGCAAAAUGGCACCGUAACUUCGGGAGAAGGUGCGCCGGCUAGGGUGAAGGAUUUACUCCGUAAGCUCUGGCUGGUCGAAGAUACCAGGCCGCUGCGACUGUUUAUUAAAAACACAGCACUCUGCAAACACGAAAGUGGACGUAUAGGGUGUGACGCCUGCCCGGUGCCGGAAGGUUAAUUGAUGGGGUUAGCGCAAGCGAAGCUCUUGAUCGAAGCCCCGGUAAACGGCGGCCGUAACUAUAACGGUCCUAAGGUAGCGAAAUUCCUUGUCGGGUAAGUUCCGACCUGCACGAAUGGCGUAACGAUGGCGGCGCUGUCUCCACCCGAGACUCAGUGAAAUUGAAAUCGCUGUGAAGAUGCAGUGUAUCCGCGGCUAGACGGAAAGACCCCGUGAACCUUUACUGUAGCUUUGCACUGGACUUUGAGCCUGCUUGUGUAGGAUAGGUGGGAGGCUUUGAAGCGUGGACGCCAGUUCGCGUGGAGCCAUCCUUGAAAUACCACCCUGGCAUGCUUGAGGUUCUAACUCUGGUCCGUAAUCCGGAUCGAGGACAGUGUAUGGUGGGCAGUUUGACUGGGGCGGUCUCCUCCUAAAGAGUAACGGAGGAGUACGAAGGUGCGCUCAGACCGGUCGGAAAUCGGUCGCAGAGUAUAAAGGCAAAAAGCGCGCUUGACUGCGAGACAGACACGUCGAGCAGGUACGAAAGUAGGUCUUAGUGAUCCGGUGGUUCUGUAUGGAAGGGCCAUCGCUCAACGGAUAAAAGGUACUCCGGGGAUAACAGGCUGAUACCGCCCAAGAGUUCAUAUCGACGGCGGUGUUUGGCACCUCGAUGUCGGCUCAUCACAUCCUGGGGCUGAAGCCGGUCCCAAGGGUAUGGCUGUUCGCCAUUUAAAGUGGUACGCGAGCUGGGUUUAGAACGUCGUGAGACAGUUCGGUCCCUAUCUGCCGUGGACGUUUGAGAUUUGAGGGGCUGCUCCUAGUACGAGAGGACCGGAGUGGACGAACCUCUGGUGUUCCGGUUGUCACGCCAGUGGCAUUGCCGGGUAGCUAUGUUCGGAAAAGAUAACCGCUGAAAGCAUCUAAGCGGGAAACUUGCCUCAAGAUGAGAUCUCACUGGGAACUUGAUUCCCCUGAAGGGCCGUCGAAGACUACGACGUUGAUAGGCUGGGUGUGUAAGCGUUGUGAGGCGUUGAGCUAACCAGUACUAAUUGCCCGUGAGGCUUGACCAUAUAACACCCAAACA
rnacentral:rRNA from 1 species